CCCAUGAAAUCGAAUGCAGAUCUUCCUGAUGUGAGAUUUACAUAAAUAUGUCAAAGUCUCAACCUCAUGCUGCCCUCCCCCAUCCUCCUAAACCUGUGGAUACAAAUGCAGAUUUCCUUAAUGUAAGUUGUGCAUUUUUAUUACAUCAUAUUAUUUUAAUAUUAUUUAUUUAUUUUAUUUUACAUUCAAAUAUCUCAAGCUUCUUAGUUUAAUAAGCUUGAUUGCUAGUAGAUAAAGAAUAGUUCACCUAUAAUUGAUAUUCCCAAUUAAUUUCUCACCUCUGAUUGAAUGGCUUUGUUUGUUUGCCUUUUUUGACCAUAACAAGACAUUUUUGCAGGAUAUAUAUGGUGAAUUUAUAUGCAUAGAUACAGUCAUAGUGCUUGACACAUGCACACAGCAGUAGAUGGACUAAAAAGGAAAUAAUUACAAUCAUGAUGUUGAUGGCUGAUGUCAGUAUAUAUAUUUUAGAGGAAUGUUUUGUUUUUCACCCAAAAUGAACUAUAUUGCUUCAGAAGAGAUUUAUUACCCUACCUGACUCUUAUAUAUUGUUCUGUUUUUUGUUUGUUUUUGUUAUUUUCAGGUUCAAUAGUGCGUGUUCUUCUAAUGGCCGCCUUCCCACUGGAGGUUUUGAUCCACAGCAAUUUAAAAGGAGGACAGAGCAAAACGGACGUCGGUGCAGAGCGAAGAACUGCCCUUCAUAAGGACACUUUGACAGCCAUAUAUAUGGCGGUAAGGAAGAGGUUUCCCAAUGUGUCCAGAAGGGCUUUGAGGAUUGGACUGAAUUCGAAGCUGGGGGAACUGAGACUGAUGGAAAAGAAAAGAAAUUACAUUUGAAGUAUGUUGACUUAUGUUCAUACAAUCACACACACAUAUAUACACAGACACACACACACACAUAUAUAUAUAUAUAUAUAUAUAUGUGUGUGUGUGUGUGUGUGUGUGUGUGUUUCUUUUAGAAUGUUUAAGUAUGUAAUGAGAAUAAAAUUAUAAAAUGAAUAUUCCUUGCUUGAUUGAUAUGCUAUAUGUAUGUUUUAAACAUCAAAUAAAGAUUUCUUUCAGCUGUUAC
rnacentral:lncRNA from 1 species